UACAGAGGUGGCAAGCGUUGUUCGGAAUUACUGGGCGUAAAGGGCGCGUAGGCGGCCUACUAAGUCAGACGUGAAAUCCCCCGGCUUAACCUGGGAACUGCGUCUGAUACUGGAUGGCUUGAGUUUGGGAGAGGGACGCGGAAUUCCAGGUGUAGCGGUGAAAUGCGUAGAUAUCUGGAGGAACACCGGUGGCGAAGGCGGCGUCCUGGACCAACACUGACACUGAGGAGCGAAAGCCAGGGGAGCAAACGGG
rnacentral:rRNA from 1 species